rnacentral:rRNA from 1 species
UUUAAUGACUCUCGGCAACGGAUAUCUCGGCUCUCGCAUCGAUGAAGAACGUAGCGAAAUGCGAUACUUGGUGUGAAUUGCAGAAUCCCGUGAACCAUCGAGUCUUUGAACGCAAGUUGCGCCCGAAGCCAUUUGGUCGAGGGCACGUCUGCCUGGGCGUCACGUA